AAACAAUCAGUUAUAGCUAUGAAUAUGAACUUAAAAUCAACAAAUUUCCUGCUGAGCAAGCAGCUCUCGGUUCACAAUCAGAGCAAUAAGUCGAGAACCAAGCCCGCCUGACCCGUGCAGACGCAGAAUACAUCCAGCCUUCAGCGUAUCAUCAAGGACACACGCGUUAUUCACUCACAAAGCCUUCGUCUGAAAGCGUUUACCUCCCUCUGCUCACCGAGGCAUCAAAUCCGCAGCCACCGCCGUCAGAGCGCCAUUGUGUCGCGCGUUGCAGGAACAGAUGACUUAUUCUCCGUGUAACCGAYCUUCUAUUCAGAUCCAAGGCUAGUAAAGUCAUGUUGAAAACGUG